CAGGUGGGGUCCAGCACUUUGUACCAGGGGGGGGGCAGCCCCUCCAGCCGCGAUGCUUCGUAAUCCACGUGGGCGUCGUCGUAAUCCUCUGCAAUGAUCUCCUCCUCUGGCUCGGGCUCCACGUGCUUGAGCAGGCCGCGCUUGGCCAAGCGGCACUGCAGGGCGGCGGGGAGCGGCAUGGCGACCGGCGACGGAAGCGGAACCCCGCGCUCCGCCGCCGCUUCGCCUUCUUCUCCAGGCCCCGCGGUCACGUGAGCAUCGCUGACCAACCAGCGCCGCCC
rnacentral:lncRNA from 1 species